GAUGAACGCUAGCUCCAGGCUUAACACAUGCAAGUCGAGGGGAAACGACAUCGAAAGCUUGCUUUUGAUGGGCGUCGACCGGCGCACGGGUGAGUAACGCGUAUCCAACCUGCCCAUCACUUGGGGAUAACCUUGCGAAAGUAAGACUAAUACCCAAUGAUAUCUCUAGAAGACAUCUGGAAGAGAUUAAAGAUUUAUCGGUGAUGGAUGGGGAUGCGUCUGAUUAGCUUGUUGGCGGGGUAACGGCCCACCAAGGCAACGAUCAGUAGGGGUUCUGAGAGGAAGGUCCCCCACAUUGGAACUGAGACACGGUCCAAACUCCUACGGGAGGCAGCAGUGAGGAAUAUUGAUCAAUGGGCGAGAGCCUGAACCAGCCAAGUAGCGUGCAGGAAGACGGCCCUAUGGGUUGUAAACUGCUUUUAUAAGGGAAUAAAGUGAGAGUCGUGACUCUUUUUGUAUGUACCUUAUGAAUAAGGACCGGCUAAGUCCGUG
rnacentral:rRNA from 1 species